rnacentral:rRNA from 1 species
CCUACGGGAGGCUGCAGUGAGGAAUAUUGGUCAAUGGCCGAAAGGCUGAACCAGCCAAGCCGCGUGCGGGAAGACGGCCCUACGGGUUGUAAACCUCUUUUGUCGGGGAGCAAAGCGAGUCACGUGUGACUCAUUGAGAGUAACCGAAGAAAAAGCAUCGGCUAACUCCGUGCCAGCAGCCGCGGUAAUACGGAGGAUGCGAGCGUUAUCCGGAUUUAUUGGGUUUAAAGGGUGCGCAGGCGGAGGUGCAAGUCAGCGGUCAAAUUCCGGGGCUCAACCCCGUACUGCCGUUGAAACUGCAUGCCUUGAGUGCGCGAGAAGUAUGCGGAAUGCGUGGUGUAGCGGUGAAAUGCAUAGAUAUCACGCAGAACUCCGAUUGCGAAGGCAGCAUACCGGCGCGCAACUGACGCUCAUGCACGAAAGCGUGGGUAUCGAACAGGAUUAGAUACCCCUGUAGUC